UACUGGGUGUGGUAGCGAACCAGGACGUUUACUUUGAAAAAUUAGAGUGUUCAAAGCAGGCCUACGCCCGAAUACAUUAGCAUGGAAUAAUAGAAUAGGACGCGCGUUCCCAUUUUGUUGGUUUCUGAGAUCGCGCGUAAUGAUUAAUAGGGAUAGUGGGGGCAUUUGUAUUCCGUCGUCAGAGUGAAAUUCUUGGAUUGCGGAAGACAAACUACUGCGAAAGCAUUGCCAAGGAUGUUUCAUUGAUCAGAACGAAGAAGGGGGAUCGAAAACGAUCAAUACCGUGUAGUCUCUUCUGUAAACUAUGCCAAUUGGGAUUAGCUCAGGAUUUUAAUACUGAGUUAGCACCGAAGAGAAAUCUUUAAUGAGUUCGGGGGGAUAUGGUCGCAAGGCUGAAACUUAAAGAAUUGACGAAGGCACCACCAGGUUGGAGCCUGCGCUUAAUUUGACUCAACACGGGAAACUCACCAGUCAGACACAAUAAGAUUGACAGAUUGAUAGCUCUUCUUGAUCUGUGGUGUGGUGCAUGCCGUUCUUAGUUGUGAGUGAUUGUCUGGUUAAUUCCGAUAACGAACGAACCUAACCUGCUAAAUAGUCCCGCCGGCUUGGCUGGCGCUGACUUCUUAGAGGACUAUCAGCGUUUAGCUGAUGGAAGUUUGAGGCAAUAACAGGUCUGUGAUGCCUUAGAUGUUCUGGGCCGCACGCGCGCUACACUGACAGAGCCAGCGAGUAUUUUCACCUUGGCCGGAAGCCCGGUAAUCUUGUGAAACUCUGUCGUGAUGGGAUAGAACAUUGCAAUUAUUGUUCUUCAACGAGGAAUACUAGUAAGCGUGAUUCAUCAGAUCGCGUUGAUUACGUCCUGCCCUUUGUACACACCGCCCGUCGCUACUACCGAUUGAAUGGCUUAGUGAGCCUCCGGAUUGGCUAUGGAAUCCUCGCGGAAUCCACUGCUGAGAAGUUGUACGAACUUGGUCAUUUAGAGGAAGUAAAAGUCGUAACAAGUUUCCGUAGGUGAACCUGCGGAAG
rnacentral:rRNA from 1 species